UACGUAGGGUGCGAGCGUUAAUCGGAAUUACUGGGCGUAAAGGGCGCGUAGGUGGCCUGAUAAGGGUGUGGUGAAAGUCCGGGGCUCAACCCCGGAUCUGCCGUGCCGACUGUCAGGCUAGAGUGCUGUAGGGGCAGGCGGAAUUCCGGGUGUAGCGGUGGAAUGCGUAGAGAUCCGGAGGAAGACCGGUGGCGAAGGCGGCCUGCUGGGCAGAUACUGACACUGAGGCGCGACAGCGUGGGGAGCAAACAGG
rnacentral:rRNA from 1 species